rnacentral:rRNA from 1 species
CCUACGGGAGGCAGCAGUGGGGAAUAUUGCACAAUGGGCGAAAGCCUGAUGCAGCAACGCCGCGUGAGCGAUGAAGGCCUUCGGGUCGUAAAGCUCUGUCCUCAAGGAAGAUAAUGACGGUACUUGAGGAGGAAGCCCCGGCUAACUACGUGCCAGCAGCCGCGGUAAUACGUAGGGGGCUAGCGUUAUCCGGAAUUACUGGGCGUAAAGGGGGCGUAGGUGGGUUUUUAAGUCAGAAGUGAAAGACUACGGCUCAACCGUAGUAAGCCUUUUGAAAUUGGAAACUUGGAGGGCAGGGGAGGAGAAGGGAAUGCCGAGUGUAGCGGUGAAAUGCGUAGAUAUUAGGAAGAACCCCAGGGGCGAAGG